rnacentral:rRNA from 1 species
CAGCCGCCGCGGGAAUACGUAGGGUGCAAGUGUUAAUCGGAAUUACUGGGCGUAAAGCGUGCGCAGGCGGUUUGUUAAGACAGAUGUGAAAUCCCCGGGCUCAACCUGGGAACUGCAUUUGUGACUGGCAAGCUAGAGUGUGGCAGAGGGGGGUGGAAUUCCGCGUGUAGCAGUGAAAUGCGUAGAUAUGCGGAGGAACACCGAUGGCGAAGGCAGCCCCCUGGGCCAAUACUGACGCUCAUGCACGAAAGUGUGGGGAGCAAACAGGAUUAGAUACCCCAGUAGUCCCUGUCUCUUAUAC